ensembl:lncRNA
CAGGAUCUUAUGGGGGCGGCCCGGGAUCCUCUGGAGGAUCGGGAUCCUACGGGAUCAGCUCGGGAUCCUAUGGGGGCAGCUCGGGAUCCUCUGGAGGAUCGGGAUCCUACGGGAUCAACUCAGGAUCCUACGGGGGUAGCUCGGGAUCCUACGGGGGAUCGGGAUCCUACGGGGGAUCGGGAGCAUUCCCAGGACGAGGGAGCGGAUCGGGAUCCUACGUGUCCCCAGGAUCGAGCGGAGGCAAGCCGGGAUCCUAUGGCAGCAGGCCAGGAUCCCCCGGGGACGGCUCGGGAUCGUUUGUCUCACCGGGAUCCGGUGGGCCGCCGGGAUCCUACGGACUGGUGCCCUACGGGAGUGGAUUCGGAUCGGGGAGCUACGGCCCGCAAGGGGGAAGCGGAUCGGGAUCCUAUGGGGGAUCCAGUUCAGGAGCCUAUGGAAGCGGCUCAGGAUCAGGCAGACCGGGAUCCCAAGGGGGAUUUGGAUCUGGAUCGGGAUCGGGCAGACCGGGAUCCCAAGGGGGAUUUGGAUCCGGAUCAGGAUCAGGAUCAGGAUCAGGCAGACCUGGAUCCCAAGGGGGAAGUGGAUCGGGAUCAGGCAGACCUGGAUCCCAUGGGGGAAGCGGAUCGGGAUCGGGCAGACCUGGAUCCCAGGGGGGCAGCGGGUCCCAAGGAGGCAGCGGAUCGGGAUCCUAUGGGGGCAGCUCAGGAUCCUACGGGGGCAGCUCAGGAUCCUACGGAGGCAGCUCAGGAUCCUACGGGCUCCCUGAGUCCUACGGGGAUGAUUCGGGUUUCUACGGGGGAUCAGGAUCCUACGGGGGGGAUUCGGGGUCCUACGGGGGUGGAUCAGGGUCCUAUGGGGGCGGAUCAGGAUCUUAUGGGGGUGGAUCGGGAUCCCAUGGGAGACCAGGAUCCUAUGGGAGACCGGGAUCCUACGGGGGUGGAUCGGGAUCUUAUGGGGGAGCAGGACCUUAUGGGGGUGGAUCAGGCUCCUAUGGAGGAUCAGGAUCCUACGGGGGUGGAUCAGGAUCCUAUGGGGGGUCGGGAUCUUAUGGGGGAGCGGGAUCUUAUGGGGGAUUGGGCUCCUACGGGGGGUCGGGGUCCCAGGGGGGCUCCCAGCGCCCCGUGUACAAGAACCCCGGGAUCCCCUUCGUGCCGGGGCUGCGGGAUCCGGCCCGGAUCGGGGGCUACAUCCCCGUGCGCCGCGGCCCCACCACGGGAUCGGGAUCCACUCACGGCUCCGGCGCGGGAUCCAGCUCGGGGACGGCGACCGGGACCUACGGCUCGGGAUCCCAAGGGGGAUCCCAAGGGGGAUCCCAAGGGGGAUCCGGGGGAGGAUCCGGGGGGGGAUCUGGGGCGGGAUCCGGGACGGGAUCUGACCAAGCCCAGUCCGGCUGCGGGGGCUGUGAUGAGUAGGGGGCACCCGGAGCCCCCCCAGUCCCGCUCACGCACCCCAAUAAAGUCCUUGCAGCUCGGCACCGGCCUCGUCCUUGUCCCCACGCGUGUCCCCAUGGCCACACGUGUCCCCAACGUGUCCCCACACGUGUCCCCAACGUGUCCCCACACGUGUCCCCUACAUGUCCCCACGUGUCCCCGCACGUCCUGGCACCGGCUGAGCUGGCGGGGCUGGUCCGCACCCACGCCCGGGGACAGGGACGUCAGGGACGGGACGGGGACGCCCACGGGGACGGGAAUGGGGUCAUCGGGGUGGGACAUCAGGGAUGGGACGGGGACGCCAACUGGGGCAGGAAUGGGGACACCGGGGUGGGACACUGGGGACGGGAUGGGGAUGCCAACUAGGACAGGAAUGGGGACACCAGGAUGGGGACACCCACAGGGACAGGAAUGGGGACAUGGGGAUGGGGACUUCGGGGACAGGACGGGGACUUUGGGGCCAUAAAGGGGACACCCGCAAGGACAGGGAUGGGGACACCUGGGACCAGUAUGGUCCCAUAGGGGCCAGCCUGAGCCCUACACGGAGGAGUGUGAGCCCUAAAGGCACCGGUAUGGCCCCACAGACACCAGUAUGAACCCUAAAAGACCAUUAAGCCCCCAAAGGGACUGGUGGGAGCACUAUAGGGACCAGUAAGACCCCAUAGGAACCAGUAGAAGCCCCAUAGGCACCAGUAGGAGACCUAUAGGAACCAGUAUGGCCCUACAGAGACCAGUGGAAGCCCUACAGAGACAAGUACAAUGCCAUGGAGACCAGUAGGAGCCCUAUAGGAACCAGUAUGGCCCUAUGGGGACCAGUAGGAGCCCUACAGAGACAAGUGCAGCCCCAUAGGGACCAGUAGAAGCCCGAAAUGCACCAGUAGGAGCCCUAUAGGGACCAG